rnacentral:rRNA from 1 species
GACGUUGGGAAAGCGAGCGGCGGAUGGGUGAGUAACACGUGGGGAACCUGCCCCUAAGUCUGGGAUACCAUUUGGAAACAGGUGCUAAUACCGGAUAAUAAAGCAGAUCGCAUGAUCAGCUUUUGAAAGGCGGCGUAAGCUGUCGCUAAGGGAUGGCCCCGCGGUGCAUUAGCUAGUUGGUAAGGUAACGGCUUACCAAGGCGACGAUGCAUAGCCGAGUUGAGAGACUGAUCGGCCACAUUGGGACUGAGACACGGCCCAAACUCCUACGGGAGGCAGCAGUAGGGAAUCUUCCACAAUGGACGCAAGUCUGAUGGGGCAACGCCGCGUGAGUGAAGAAGGUUUUCGGAUCGUAAAGCUCUGUUGUUGGUGAAGAAGGAUAGAGGUAGUAACUGGCCUUUAUUUGACGAUAAUCAACCAGAAAGUCACGGCUAACUACGUGCCAGCAGCCGCGGUAAUACGUAGGUGGCAAGCGUUGUCCGGAUUUAUUGGGCGUAAAGCGAGCGCAGGCGGAAAAAUAAGUCUAAUGUGAAAGCCCUCGGCUUAACCGAGGAACUGCAUCGGAAACUGUUUUUCUUGAGUGCAGAAGAGGAGAGUGGAACUCCAUGUGUAGCGGUGGAAUGCGUAGAUAUAUGGAAGAACACCAGUGGCGAAGGCGGCUCUCUGGUCUGCAACUGACGCUGAGGCUCGAAAGCAUGGGUAGCGAACAGGAUUAGAUACCCUGGUAGUCCAUGCCGUAAACGAUGAGUGCUAAGUGUUGGGAGGUUUCCGCCUCUCAGUGCUGCAGCUAACGCAUUAAGCACUCCGCCUGGGGAGUACGACCGCAAGGUUGAAACUCAAAGGAAUUGACGGGGGCCCGCACAAGCGGUGGAGCAUGUGGUUUUAAUUCGAAGCACCGCGAAG